rnacentral:misc_RNA from 1 species
CGGAGGGAUCAUUACCGAGUUAUACAACUCAUCAACCCUGUGAACAUACCUAAAACGUUGCUUCGGCGGGAACAGACGGCCCCGUAACACGGGCCGCCCCCGCCAGAGGACCCCCUAACUCUGUUUCUAUUAUGUUUCUUCUGAGUAAAACAAGCAAAUAAAUUAAAACUUUCAACAACGGAUCUCUUGGCUCUGGCAUCGAUGAAGAACGCAGCGAAAUGCGAUAAGUAAUGUGAAUUGCAGAAUUCAGUGAAUCAUCGAAUCUUUGAACGCACAUUGCGCCCGCCAGUAUUCUGGCGGGCAUGCCUGUUCGAGCGUCAUUACAACCCUCAGGCCCCCGGGCCUGGCGUUGGGGAUCGGCGAGGCGCCCCCUGCGGGCACACGCCGUCCCCCAAAUACAGUGGCGGUCCCGCCGCAGCUUCCAUUGCGUAGUAGCUAACACCUCGCAACUGGAGAGCGGCGCGGCCACGCCGUAAAACACCCAACUUCUGAAUGUUGACCUCGAAUCAGGUAGGAAUACCCGCUGAACUUAAGCAUAUCA